AACCCCAGUACAUUGAUUUAUAUCAGCUGUAGCGCUGGGCCACAUUCCCAGCUUAUCUUCAGCCCCCUUGGUUCAAGGAGUCAGUCAUGGUGCGACCUCUGCCACUCAUAGGUUUUCCCGUAUCUGCUACCCAAGGCGAGGCAGAAGUUGCCUUUGUUUCUGCUUUUGUGAGCCCUGUUUGGCCUGGGAAAGAGAGAUCUGACCCUGCAGGAAAGCAGCUCAGUAGCACUGUGUCUGAAGAACAAGGGGUGGCAACGUCAGGAGCUAAGAAUCUGGCCAGGGCUGGUUCAACGCAAGGAUGCUCUUAGGAUUUCGUCGGCCUCUGUGGUACUCUUCCUACUUACUACACAUGCUCUUGAAAUAUGAGAGGACUAGACACUAUGAUAACAAUGUCUAAAGACAAAAAGAGCCCAGACUAAAUAUUUAAGAAUCUACAGCACGUCAUCCAUGUGAAUAUUAUGUUUCCCCCUCUUCAUUUCACUACACCAGUCCUGUCAUACAAAGUCCAUAUGUGUUCAGCUCCAUUUUCUACAGCUGAUAAACUUUCUCACAGAUCACGGGAAUAAAUGGCCUAUAUAUUUAAUUUUUAAAAUUUUGUUUUGUAUUUUCACACUUUGUUGUGCCUGCACAGACAUUUUAAUGGGCAGUCGGCAGGGCCGUAUCAUGAGUGGUCAAUAAGCCAAAUGAAUAGCGCUGGAGUGCCCCCUGGUUUAUAGGUGUUUUACUCCUUUUUAGCUUGGCUGUAGAAACCUAAGGUACAGAUUUGAGAGAGCCAGAGAGGCGGUAGAUUAUAGCACAUAAAGGCCUGAUGUUGGAGCCAAACUUUCUAGAUUCAAAUCCCGUGUAGAUUUUUACUAGAUGCACAAUGUUGGUGACCUUGGAUAUGAUUUUUACGUUUUUCUGGGGCGCAGUUUCUUCAUCUGUAAAAUGACGUCAUUGAGAGUAUGCAAUAAAGUGAUGUAGAUGCAGCAUUUAGAACAACACCUGUCACAGACUAACACUAUAGGUCUAUUGCUGUCUUUGAAGACCAAGGGUAUAACCUUACACAAUUGCUUUGAAAUCUGCGCUUGGCAUUUUUUUGUUACACCUUGAUCAUACGCACAGCAACAGAAGCCAAAGGUAUAUGCCUUUCUUAGUAAGUUUUAAAGUGAUACUGAGGAUUAUAAAAAUGAAUAAAUGUUAAAUACUGUGGUUUAUUCACCUGGUUGUAAACUUCCCUAUCAUUGAGUGAUAAAGCAGUUACGAAUCUACUGACUCAAUAUGGUUGUUUACAUCAAAACCACGUUCAUGAUCAAUCAAGACACCAUGUGUUUUCUUUGUUUUUUGUUAUUGUUUUUUGGUGAAGAAGCUUGGCCCUGAGCUAACACUCGUUGCCAAUCUUCCUCUUUAUGCUUGAGGAAGAUUGGCCCUGAGCUAACAUCUGUGCCAAUCUUCCUCUAUUUAAUGUGAGAUGCCGUCACAGUCGUGGCUUGAUGAGCAGUUCUAGGUCUGUGCCCGAGAUCUGAGCCUGCUAACCCCGGGCCGUUGAAGUGGAGCAUGCACACUUAACCAGUAUGCCACGGGGCUGGCUGCAAGAGACCAUGUGUUUUAGUUUAAAAAUAUUGAAACAUGGAAGUCAAGUAUCUAAUUUUUAAAGACUUUGUUGUCAGUUUAGCAAAGCUCAUCUCCCAGGGUGGUCAGAUUUGGUUUGCAAUUAUUAUGACAAAUGGUGCUGAGUGGUCUGAAAGCAAAAUAAGUGGCUUUCUUUAAACGUUUUUUCUGUGAUCUUCCUGUCUUUUAUUUAUUUGGCACACUUUAUCUUUUUAAAAAAUUUUUACCGUGUUUAACACUUUUCCUUGGGUCCCUAGACUUUGCUGCUCUUGAUGGCAGUGGUCCAAAAAGAUGAAAAAUGCAGACGUGAUCUCUAAAACAGUGAAGUUACAAGCUUGUAUGUAUUGUUUUUGAGGUCUAACAG
ensembl:lncRNA